UGACCUAUGGUGUAAUGGCAACACUACAGAUUCUGGAUCUGUCGUUCUUGGUUCGAAUCCAGGUAGGUCAACAA
rnacentral:tRNA from 2 species